CCGCUUGCCUGCGGCCUCGCCUUUCGGGGCGCGGCCACAGCAUGCAAUCCUUGCCUAUCUCUACCUGUUGUUAUUCCCUCGGCGGGGAGACCCGCCGCUGGGGACAUCAUAAACUCUUAUGUAUAAAGCAUCAAAUCUUCUGAAUCAAACCAAAAUAAUAA
rnacentral:misc_RNA from 1 species